rnacentral:rRNA from 1 species
GGGCCCGCACAAGCGGUGGAGUAUGUGGUUUAAUUCGAUGCAACGCGAAGAACCUUACCAGCCCUUGACAUGGGUAGUAUGGAUUUUGGAGACAAUUUCCUUCAGUUCGGCUGGCUACCACACAGGUGCUGCAUGGCUGUCGUCAGCUCGUGUCGUGAGAUGUUGGGUUAAGUCCCGCAACGAGCGCAACCCUCAUCUUCAGUUGCUAACGCCUAGGGCGAGCACUUUGGAGAAACUGCCUGGGAUGACUAGGAGGAAGGCGAGGAUGACGUCAAGUCCUCAUGGCCCUUAUGGGCUGGGCUACACACGUGCUACAAUGGCGGUGACAACGGGAAGCAAUUGGGCAACCUUGAGCAAAUCCCCAAAAACCGUCUCAGUUCGGAUUGUACUCUGCAACUCGAGUGCAUGAAGUUGGAAUCGCUAGUAAUCGUGGAUC